rnacentral:rRNA from 1 species
CCUACGGGCGGCAGCAGUGAGGAAUAUUGGUCAAUGGACGAGAGUCUGAACCAGCCAAGUAGCGUGAAGGAUGACUGCCCUAUGGGUUGUAAACUUCUUUUAUAUGGGAAUAAAACGUUCCACGUGUGGGAUUUUGUAUGUACCAUAUGAAUAAGGAUCGGCUAACUCCGUGCCAGCAGCAGCGGUAAUACGGAGGAUCCGAGCGUUAUCCGGAUUUAUUGGGUUUAAAGGGAGCGUAGGUGGAUUGUUAAGUCAGUUGUGAAAGUUUGCGGCUCAACCGUAAAAUUGCAGUUGAAACUGGCAGUCUUGAGUACAGUAGAGGUGGGCGGAAUUCGUGGUGUAGCGGUGAAAUGCUUAGAUAUCACGAAGAACUCCGAUUGCGAAGGCAGUUCACUGGACUGCAACUGACACUGAGGCUCGAAAGUGUGGGUAUCAAACAGGAUUAGAUACCCCUGUAGUC